rnacentral:rRNA from 1 species
UGCGUAGGCGGUUAAAUAAGUUUGAGGUUAAAUGCGUUAGCUCAACUAGCGUUUGCCUUGAAAACUGUUUGACUAGGAUGUAAACGGCGCAGGCGGAAUGAAUCAUGUAGCGGUGACAUGCAUAGAUAUGAUUCAGAACACCGAUCGCGAAGGCAGCUUGCGAGGAUACGAUUGACGCUGAAGCACGAAAGCGUGGGUAUCGAACAGGAUUAGAUACCCUGGUAGUCCACGCUGUAAACGAUGAUAACUAGAUGUUGGCGAUAUACAGUCAGUGUCGAAUUGAAAGAUAUAAGUUAUCCACCUGGGGAGUACGAUCGCAAGGUUGAAACUCAAAGGAAUUGACGGGGGCCCGCACAAGCGGAGGAGCAUGUGGUUUAAUUCGAUGAUACGCGAGGAACCUUACCCGAACUUGAACGUAUGAUGAAUAAUUUAAGAGAUUAGAUUAGUUAGCAAUAACAUUAUACGAGGUGCUGCAUGGUUGUCGUCAGCUCGUGCCGUGAGGUGUCAGGUUAAGUCCUAUAACGAGCGCAACCCCUGCACAUAGCUACCAGCACGUAAAGGUGGGGACUCUAUGUGGACUGCCGGCGCAAGCUGCGAGGAAGGCGGGGAUGACGUCAAAUCAGCACGGCCCUUACGUUCGGGGCGACACACGUGCUACAAUGGCAGGUACAGAGGGCAGCGACACAGUGAUGUGGAGCGAAUCUCGAAAGCCUGUCUCAGUUCGGAUCGGAGUCUGCAACCCGACUUCGUGAAGAUGGAUUCGCUAGUAA